rnacentral:rRNA from 1 species
GACGAACGCUGGCGGCGUGCUUAACACAUGCAAGUCGAACGGAAAGGCCCCUUUGGGGGUACUCGAGUGGCGAACGGGUGAGUAACACGUGAGUAACCUGCCCUUGACUUCGGGAUAACUUCAGGAAACUGGGGCUAAUACCGGAUAGGAAUCCUUGCUGCAUGGUGGGGGUUGGAAAGCUUCGGCGGUUUUGGAUGGACUCACGGCUUAUCAGCUUGUUGGUGGGGUAGUGGCUUACCAAGGCUUUGACGGGUAGCCGGCCUGAGAGGGCGACCGGCCACAUUGGGACUGAGAUACGGCCCAGACUCCUACGGGAGGCAGAAGUGGGGAAUAUUGCACAAGGGGCGGAAGCCUGAUGCAGCAACGCCGCGUGCGGGAUGACGGCCUUCGGGUUGUAAACCGCUUUCAGCAGGGGCGAAGCUUGUGGUGACGGUACCUGCAGAAGAAGCACCGGCUAACUACGUG